CACUCCACAAAGACGCCGUCACGAACAAUAGCACCCGCAACCUUGGUCGUCUGCCAGGCUCCUGGCUCCACACGCCCCAUCCGUCCUCCGCGAGCUUGACCCCAUCCUCCCCGAUCACCGCCAGCCCCUCCUGCAGCCUGACCAGGUUCAUCUCAACUCACCAGGCAUAACCCAAUAACCGUCACGACACAAGAAGGGGAGCCCAAGGUCGAAGUUCAUUCGAGGCUCUGGGGCCUGUGGGAAACGUAGUCCAACACAGAAAACGUCCAGCCCUCCGAGCAGAGAGUGAAGCCCACCGGCAGCUGAGGCCCUUCCGAGCCUCCGACUCCCGGGAAUUCCAGGGUGUGCGGAUCGCUCGCCGAUGGCGAGGAGUUGCAGCUGGUGGGCCUUUCAGACGCCAAAGAGCCAGAAGCCAAAGCCACAUUCCUGAACAUGUUUGCAUGUGAAAAGACACGGAUACAUGUUCCCAGAAGGUUCUGGAAGGAAGGAAAAUUUGGGCAAGACAUGCGAGCUGCAUAGCAAGUAGAAGGAAUUACCCAGGAGGUCCUGGUAAGGAACAAGGAACUAAUAAGCCACCACCAACCGGAAGAGUUCAGGAAAGGUCAAAAGGAGACACCACAUGUCCAACCACCUCCAGAAUCCUUCUCACUGGUAUCCAUCUUGGCUGAACAAGACAUACACCACCAGGAAGGACUCUGAGUCAGAAUGAUUGGCUAAAGACAACCCGGAAACCAAUCCCACCUGGCAUAGCUGUUCUCCUGGGUUCCCUUACCCUCCUGCUCUCCACCCAGGUGCCCUUUCCCAAUAAAAUCUCUU